rnacentral:sRNA from 1 species
AGUUGAUGAUGUCUCUGCUUCGGCUGUACCGGUUCUCACCCAUCGUCCCAGACCUGGGCCUACAGGUGGGAGCCCCUGCCUCUGCCCUGAGCCCCCUGGACCUCGCCUGUCCACUCUGAACGCCCCCUCUCCACAGAUCCAUUACCUGCGGCUCACUAUCGCCAUCCUGAGGCAUGAGAAGUCCCGCAAGUUUCUGCUUAGCAACGUCCUCUUCGACGUGCUCCGCUCCGUCGUCUUCUUUUACAUCAAGAGCCCCCUGCGUGUGGAGGAGGCCGGCCUGCAAGAGCUCAUUCCCACCACCUGGUGGCCCCACCGCUCCAGUAGGGAGGGCAAAGAGAGCACGGAGAUGAAGGAGGAGACCGCAGAGGAGCGGCUGCGGCGGCGAGCCUACGAACGGGGCUGCCAGCGGCUCAGGAAGCGCAUCGAAGGUGGGCCCGCCUUGGGCACGGGGUAGGGUGGGAGGUGUGUGUAUGCACGUGAGGGCGCUUGGAGGUGCCCAUGUCUAGGUGGGACUUGGGGAACCCUGGUGGUGGAGCCCUGGCCCAAACCUGCCCCCCAUCUCCCGGAGCCUGAGGGCCAUGUUCCUCACCUCACCUCCAGUGGUGGAAGAACUACAGGUCCAGAUCCU